rnacentral:rRNA from 1 species
AACGAACGCUGGCGGCAGGCCUAAGACAUGCAAGUCGAGCGAAGCCUUCGGGCUUAGCGGCGGACGGGUGAGUAACGCGUGGGAACGUGCCCUUUGGUACGGAAUAGCCCCGGGAAACUGGGAGUAAUACCGUAUGCGGUCGAGAGACGAAAGAUUUAUCGCCAGAGGAUCGGCCCGCGUUGGAUUAGGUAGUUGGUGGGGUAAUGGCCUACCAAGCCGACGAUCCAUAGCUGGUUUGAGAGGAUGAUCAGCCACACUGGGACUGAGACACGGCCCAGACUCCUACGGGAGGCAGCAGUGGGGAAUCUUAGACAAUGGGGGAAACCCUGAUCUAGCCAUGCCGCGUGAUCGAUGAAGGCCUUAGGGUUGUAAAGAUCUUUCAGUGGGGAAGAUAAUGACUGUACCCACAGAAGAAGCCCCGGCUAACUCCGUGCCAGCAGCCGCCGUAACAC